rnacentral:rRNA from 1 species
CUUCCCAUAGAGAAGAAUUUUACUUCUUCACCGGUUCUCGUCCGAUAACCAAAGUUAAGCAAUGUCGUGCCCGGUCAGUACUUGGGAGGGUGACCACCUGGGAACACCGGGUGCUGUAGGCU